rnacentral:ncRNA from 2 species
AUCGCAUCCCGCGGGAGCCCGCAGAUCGGGCUGAGAGGGUGGACGAGCGGCGGAAACAUCGAAUCCGCCCAGGCCACCGACCGCUUGAACCUGAUCCGGCUAGUACCGGCGCAGGGAGAGGUUGGCUGUCAUGU